AAAUCUGCUCCACUCUUCAAAAUUGGUUCUACUUUCAUGCUUCUAUGUAACCACGAUGGACGGAGAGGGUGAGCAACAAAUGACGGGACCGUGAUAGAGGGUGAGCAGUCAGCAGUGAAUGAUGGUGAUGAUGUCGUUGCCUGUCGAUGGGGGCUCCGCCAUAGCGAUUAUUGAUUGGUUUUGCCCUCCAUCUCACCACCGCAUUUUUUGUAGAUUGUGAAAUUAAAGCCUUCUAUGUUUUUUUUUGUUUUGCAGUUGCUUUUGAUAGUAGGGCUUGCAAUCCUUUUGAGAAACUUACGUGAUUGGAUACUCCUUUAAUCGUCGUCAAGGACAAGGAACAAUAUAACGCAUGGGGAACAAUACCGGGCUAUAGAGAUAACUCUGUUAUGCAUUAAAAACAAGUGGGUGGUAUACCUGCUCUAAAAUGGUCUGAUGUAGAUUGAGAGAGACAAUUGUUCAUCACGUAAACUGUAAUUGGAGUUGACCACAUUCUUGAAUAACUGUCCCAAUAAUCCUUAAACUGG